rnacentral:rRNA from 1 species
GACGAACGCUGGCGGCGUGCUUAACACAUGCAAGUCGAGCGGUAAGGCCCUUUCGGGGGUACACGAGCGGCGAACGGGUGAGUAACACGUGGGUGACCUGCCCUCAGCUCUGGGAUAAGCCUGGGAAACCGGGUCUAAUACCGGAUAUGACUCCAUGACGCAUGUUGUGGGGUGGAAAGCCUUGUGCGGCUGAGGAUGGGCCCGCGGCCUAUCAGCUUGUUGGUGGGGUGANGGCCUACCAAGGCGACGACGGGUAGCCGGCCUGAGAGGGCGACCGGCCACACUGGGACUGAGACACGGCCCAGACUCCGUACGGGAGGCAGCAGGUGGGGAAUCUUGCGCAAGUGGGCGAAAGCCUGACGCAGCGACGCCGCGUGAGGGAU